AGAUUGAACGCUGGCGGCAUGCCUUACACAUGCAAGUCGAACGGUAACGCGGGGCAACCUGGCGACGAGUGGCGAACGGGUGAGUAAUAUAUCGGAACGUGCCAUAGAGUGGGGGAUAACUAGUCGAAAGACUAGCUAAUACCGCAUACGAUCUACGGAUGAAAGUGGGGGAUCGCAAGACCUCACGCUCCAUGAGCGGCCGAUAUCUGAUUAGCUAGUUGGUAGGGUAAAAGCCUACCAAGGCGACGAUCAGUAGC
rnacentral:rRNA from 1 species